AGUGAAGUGGGAUGAGCUCAGCACCGAAGCCGGCGGUCGAGAGGCCGUCGUGCAAUGUGGUGUUUAGGAGGGCUCUGUCCGUGUCCGGUGUCGGUCCAAGUCUCCUGGAAAGGAGUUCCGUGGAGGGUGACAGGCCCGUGCGACCGAUUGCCGCGCUCGCGGACGAGUCCCCCUUCGAGUCGGGUUGUUCGCUAAUGCAGCCCUAAGCAGGUGGUAAGCUCCAUCUAAAGCUAAAUAUAACCACGAGUCCGAUAGUCAACAAGUACAGUGAUGGAAAGUUGAAAAGUACUCUGAAGAGAGAGUCAAAUAGCCCGUGAAGCUGCCAGUAUGGGAUUAAGCGCACGUGUGACGCGUGUCGUCGGACAAAUAGGCGACCGUUGGCUGCACACGGGUGGCGGCAUGGUGUGCGUGAGCGCGCCGUGUUGUCGCUCGUGAUUGUGGCCAGCGGAACGCUUCCCUUUGUUCGGCAUCGACAGGUCGGGGCUUCGUUGUCCGGUCUUAUUGCCGGUGGUGAUUCACAGAGCCGUGUCGAGCCGGUUGGCGUUUUCGGACGCUGCUGGUGCUCCGCUGAAUGUGCACGUUCGCGUGGCAGCGGUCGGCUUGGUCUGCGAUGCAAUGCCGCCGAUGGCGAACGACUGGGCGACGGCCAGCGCAAAUCGACUCGCAAGAGUCGGCUCGGCCUUUGCGUCGUCACGUGCGGCCCGUCUUGAAACACGGACCAAGGAGUCUAACAUGUGAGCGAGCGAUUGAGAUUGUCGAAUCUCAAACGCGCAAUGAAAGUGAAGUGUCGUCUGACGGCACGAGCGGAGAUCUGUCGUCACUCGUGGCGGCGGCGCAUCCGCGGGCCACGCCAUCGGCUGGCUUGCUUUUCGGAGCACUGCUGAGGCGUGGACCUAGAGCCCACACGUUGGGACCCGAAAGAUGGUGAACUAUGCCUGGCCAGGAUGAAGCCAGAGGAAACUCUGGUGGAGGUCCGCCGCGAUUCUGACGUGCAAAUCGAUCGUCUGAGCUGGGUAUAGGGGCGAAAGACCAAUCGAACCAUCUAGUAGCUGGUUCCGCCCGAAGUUUCCCUCAGGAUAGCUGGCGCUCGUGUGAUACGGAGUUUCAUCCGGUAAAGCGAAUGAUCAGAGGAGCUGGGCUCCUUGCGAGCUCAACCUAUUCUCAAACUUUCAAUGGGUGAGACGUCUCGCUGGCUUCACUGCAGCGACGACUCUGAAUCCGAGUGCCCAGUGGGCCACUUUUGGUAAGCAGAACUGGCGAUGCGGGAUGAACCGCAUGUCGAGUUAAGGUGCCUAAGCGGACGCAAAUCAGAUACCAUGAAAGGUGUUGAUUGCUCACGACAGCAGGACGGUGGCCAUGGAAGUCGGCAUCCGCUAAGGAGUGUGUAACAACUCACCUGCCGAAGCAAUCAGCCCUGAAAAUGGAUGGCGCUAAAGCGUCCCACCGAUACUCGACCGUCGUCGGCAGGCGAUGCUAAUUGCAGCAUCUGACGCCACGACGAGUAGGGCGGCGCAGUGGUGAGCGUUGAAGGCGUAGCCGUGAGGCUAGCUGGAGCCGCCAUUGGUGCAGAUCUUGGUGGUAGUAGCAAAUACACAAGCAAGAUCCUUGUGGACCGAUGUGGAGAAGGGUUCCGCGCGAACAGUAUUUGGACGUGGGUGAGUCGGCCCUAAGCCAACGGGUAAUUCCCGCAUCCCGUGUUAUUUCCGCAUACUUGAUGUAGCAACAUGGGUUGAU
rnacentral:rRNA from 1 species